rnacentral:rRNA from 1 species
AGAAAAAUGCAAACGGAUGCCUUUUUUAAGCAAACAAAGCUGGGAUGGAUAGCGUUGUUUCUCUGUCGUAAGAUGAAGGUGAUCAAUUUUUAUAUAAUUGGUUUUAUAGCUUCUUACAUGGUUAAUCAAUUUAUCGGUGAAUACGAUUAUUCAUUGUUGUUGAUUGGUAAUAUGUUUUGUUUGAUUGUAAACUUUUAAUAAGAUUACUUUUAAAUCGAAUGUGUUAGUGUUGGUAAUGGAUUAAUCAAAAUCUGCAGUGUAUAUGUAGGUUACCUACUCGUCCCGUCUUGAAACACGGACCAAGGAGUUUUAUAUGAUCGCGAGUCAAAGGGCUUUACGAAACCCCACGGCGUAAUUAAUGUAAAGGCUUGCAUUGGUAAGCUGAAAUGUGAUCUCAAAUGUCUUUUAGACAGCGAGAGCAACAUUGACCCGUCUAAUAGAAUUUCGAUUCUGGGCGGAGUUUGAGCGAUCAUGUAGAGACCCGAAAGAUGGUGAACUAUGCUUGUGCAGGUUGAAGUCAGGGGAAACUCUGAUGGAGGACCGAAGCGGUUCUGACGUGCAAAUCGAUCGUCGGACAUGAGUAUAGGGGCGAAAGACUAAUCGAACCAUCUAGUAGCUGGUUCCCUCCGAAGUUUCCCUCAGGAUAGCUGGCGUUUAAGUUGUAGUUUUACCUGGUAAAGCGAAUGAUUAGAAGUACUGGGGACGAAAUGUUUUCAACUUAUUCUCAAACUUUAAAUAGGUUCGAAGUAUUACUCGCUUAAUUGGAGUAAUACAUGGAAUACAAAUGCCUAGUGGGCCAUUUUUGGUAAGCAGAACUGGCGAUGUGGGAUGAACCAAACAUCUGGUUAAGGUGCCUAACACCACGCUCAUGAGAUACCACAAAAGGUGUUGGUUGAUAAAGACAGCAGGACGGUGGACAUGGAAGUCGUCAUCCGCUAAGGAGUGUGUAACAACUCACCUGCCGAAUCAACCAGCCCUGAAAAUGGAUGGCGCUGUAGCGUGGGACCUAUACCGGAUCAGUAUCGUAAGUCUUUUAUAGACCAAGUAAACGGUACUGUGUAGGAGGGUGCCGUGGUUGCUGAGAAGCUACUGGCGUAAGGCAGAGUGGAGCGGCCACGGGUACAGAUCUUGGUAG